rnacentral:tmRNA from 1 species
GGGGGUGUACCGGUUUCGACGGGAUUCUGUAGGUACUUGUAAGCACGUCCAGGACGCCCAUGGCCUGGUAAAUAAAGGGCAAAAACAUAAAUGCAAACUCUAACGAUUUUGCUUACGACACCAGGCUCGCUGCCUAGUUCGUAAUGAUCCGCUACUUCGGUACCGGAUCGCUCUCUGGGUGACGCACCCGUAAUUGCUUAGAGGGUAAUAUGCUCGGGUUAGGUUGAACGCAGUGCUUCGGGCGUUUGAAUGAAAACUUAGAAGCUGGCCUGAGAUGAUCGAGUGAACUAGAGCUUCUCAGGUAAGAUAAAGUGCUCACUAAACGUGUAGAAAGCUUGUACUAAGGUUUCUCGGACGCGGGUUCAAUUCCCGCCACCUCCACUC